AAGCAUCUGUGAGAGAUACCGCGCUGUCCGUCUCCCAGGAAGGAAGUUCGUAUCUCUUGUGCGUGUUCUAAUUUUAAAAUUAACACAGGACUCCAAAAAUUCAACUGAGAAAUGGGAAUGAUCUUCCAGGUCCAAUGAUAUUAGUGUCUGGACCAAAGUCACAGCUACUGGCUUCCUGAAGACAGUGAUAUACAGACUGGGUCUCCACCAUGUGCAUGAGCUAGGAAAGGGCAGAAGAAAGAACUGGAGGAGAAUUGGUCCCGAUAGAAGGGAAGAGAUGUGAGAAGGAUAGAAGAAAUUGUGACUGGGGCAGGCCCACUGACCUCCAGUGGAGCCACGGGCAGAGCACCCAAGACUGACUGAGCCCUGCUGUGUCCGGCUGGCUACACCUCCUUGAGACCAAGAGCUGAUAAGGAUCCCCCAGGCAGGCCCACCAGCCGCCUGUGGAGUUGCGUGGGCACCUACAACAACAGACCCCCCCCCAACCGCCUCUGGCC